AUGAAGCAAUAAAUGUACAAAAACCCACAUGAACCACAUGAAGCAAUAAAUGUACAAAACCCACAUGAACCACAUGAAGCAAUAAAUGCUUAGCAAGCACCCACAAAGCAGUGAGGUAUGGUAAAAAAAAAAGAAGGAAAUUACUGUAAGAAAUGAGAACAACCAAUAUUCUAUGACCUUGUUUGAAAAUAUUACAAUGCAGGAAGAGGUAGCCAUGCAGAUGUGUAUGACAAAGGGCUACAACCAAACUGACUGCUGAAAAGUAACACCGAUAACGUACAAACAACAAUAAAUAACCCAUCCCCUGAACAAAACUAAGCAACUACCAUGCGACAGAGUACAAAAAAAAAAGAAAAAAAAA